AUAAGUUCAUGGUAUAUAUUAAUAUAUAGAUUAUGCAAAAGUUAAUUAAUGAAUGCUAAUUCAACGCUAACGAGAGAACAUGACCCAAUCAAUUGAUCAUGAUACUAAAGUGAAUAAGCAUAAACAUCAUCUUCCGACGCCUCGAAGAAACAAACUAAAGAGAGAAAUGAAAUCUAAUCCUAAUUCCUGCAGAUUCCAAAAGCUUGGAUAAAAAGAACCCACAUAGGAUUCCAAUGGAUAAAUACAAGAACAAAUCUGAAGCUGGACAUGCAUAGUCGCAAAGAUCUAAUUCGUGAUGGGUCCUAUUUCCUACACGCCUAAGGUUUGGUUCAUGGAAUGGUUUUUGGGUGGUAUGGUUUGCUACUACGUACGGUAGUAGCCCACGCAUAUGCAUGUAUAUUGUAUAGCCCCUAAAGUAAGUGAACCUUACUUAUUUUAGUCAACGAAAUGGGUAAAAUGGG
rnacentral:lncRNA from 1 species